rnacentral:rRNA from 1 species
CUAAUACAUGCAAGUCGAGCGAACAGACAAGGAGCUUGCUCCUUUGACGUUAGCGGCGGACGGGUGAGUAACACGUGGGUAACCUACCUAUAAGACUGGGAUAACUUCGGGAAACCGGAGCUAAUACCGGAUAAUAUUUCGAACCGCAUGGUUCGAUAGUGAAAGAUGGUUUUGCUAUCACUUAUAGAUGGACCCGCGCCGUAUUAGCUAGUUGGUAAGGUAACGGCUUACCAAGGCGACGAUACGUAGCCGACCUGAGAGGGUGAUCGGCCACACUGGAACUGAGACACGGUCCAGACUCCUACGGGAGGCAGCAGUAGGGAAUCUUCCGCAAUGGGCGAAAGCCUGACGGAGCAACGCCGCGUGAGUGAUGAAGGUCUUCGGAUCGUAAAACUCUGUUAUUAGGGAAGAACAUACGUGUAAGUAACUAUGCACGUCUUGACGGUACCUAAUCAGAAAGCCACGGCUAACUACGUGCCAGCAGCCGCGGUAAUACGUAGGUGGCAAGCGUUAUCCGGAAUUAUUGGGCGUAAAGCGCGCGUAGGCGGUUUUUUAAGUCUGAUGUGAAAGCCCACGGCUCAACCGUGGAGGGUCAUUGGAAACUGGAAAACUUGAGUGCAGAAGAGGAAAGUGGAAUUCCAUGUGUAGCGGUGAAAUGCGCAGAGAUAUGGAGGAACACCAGUGGCGAAGGCGACUUUCUGGUCUGUAACUGACGCUGAUGUGCGAAAGCGUGGGGAUCAAACAGGAUUAGAUACCCUGGUAGUCCACGCCGUAAACGAUGAGUGCUAAGUGUUAGGGGGUUUCCGCCCCUUAGUGCUGCAGCUAACGCAUUAAGCACUCCGCCUGGGGAGUACGACCGCAAGGUUGAAACUCAAAGGAAUUGACGGGGACCCGCACAAGCGGUGGAGCAUGUGGUUUAAUUCGAAGCAACGCGAAGAACCUUACCAAAUCUUGACAUCCUUUGACAACUCUAGAGAUAGAGCCUUCCCCUUCGGGGGACAAAGUGACAGGUGGUGCAUGGUUGUCGUCAGCUCGUGUCGUGAGAUGUUGGGUUAAGUCCCGCAACGAGCGCAACCCUUAAGCUUAGUUGCCAUCAUUAAGUUGGGCACUCUAAGUUGACUGCCGGUGACAAACCGGAGGAAGGUGGGGAUGACGUCAAAUCAUCAUGCCCCUUAUGAUUUGGGCUACACACGUGCUACAAUGGACAAUACAAAGGGCAGCGAAACCGCGAGGUCAAGCAAAUCCCAUAAAGUUGUUCUCAGUUCGGAUUGUAGUCUGCAACUCGACUACAUGAAGCUGGAAUCGCUAGUAAUCGUAGAUCAGCAUGCUACGGUGAAUACGUUCCCGGGUCUUGUACACACCGCCCGUCACACCACGAGAGUUUGUAACACCCGAAGCCGGUGGAGUAACCAU